rnacentral:rRNA from 1 species
AUUGAACGCUGGCGGCAGGCUUAACACAUGCAAGUCGAGCGGAGAUGAGGUGCUUGCACCUUAUCUUAGCGGCGGACGGGUGAGUAAUGCUUAGGAAUCUGCCUAUUAGUGGGGGACAACAUUCCGAAAGGAAUGCUAAUACCGCAUACGUCCUACGGGAGAAAGCAGGGGAUCUUCGGACCUUGCGCUAAUAGAUGAGCCUAAGUCGGAUUAGCUAGUUGGUGGGGUAAAGGCCUACCAAGGCGACGAUCUGUAGCGGGUCUGAGAGGAUGAUCCGCCACACUAGGACUGAAACACGGCCCAGACUCCUACGGGAGGCAGCAGUGGGGAAUAUUGGACAAUGGGGGAAACCCUGAUCCAGCCAUGCCGCGUGUGUGAAGAAGGCCUUAUGGUUGUAAAGCACUUUAAGCGAGGAGGAGGCUGCUGAGACUAAUACUCUUGGAUAGUGGACGUUACUCGCAGAAUAAGCACCGGCUAACUCUGUGCCAGCCGCCGCGGUAA